GCCUCGGUAGUGUAGUGGCAGAGCACGCGUCCCCGGAUAGGAUGAGGCGCAGUUCGAUUCCCGCGUGAGGUC